rnacentral:rRNA from 1 species
GAUGAACGCUGGCGGCGUGCUUAACACAUGCAAGUCGAACGGUGACGCCGUAGCUUCCUCUUCUUGAUCAGUGCCGAACGGGUGAGUAACACGUGAGCAACCUGCUCCUGACUCUGGGAUAAGCGCUGGAAACGGCGCCUAAUACAGUAUACCAGCCGCCCUACCAUCUUCAGCAGCUGAAAUUCACUGCGGGCAGGGAUGAGCUCGCGGCUUACCAGCUUGUUGGUGAGGUAGGUGCUCACCAAGGCGUCGACGGGUAGCCGGCCUGUGAGGGGGGCCGGCCACACUGGGACUGAGAGACGGCCCAGACUCCUACGGGAGGCAGCAGUGGGGAAUAUUGCACAAUGGGCGAAAGCCUGAUGCAGCAACGCCGCGUGAGGGACGACGGCCUUCGGGUUGUAAACCUCUUUUAGCAGGGAAGAAGCGAAAGUGACGGUACCUGCAGAAAAAGCGCCGGCUAACUACGUG